CACUUCUUUUUUACAUAAUGGCCUCGUUUGUCCCAUAUUCGGCUCUAGUUCAGGAGGUUACGUAAAAGUAUUCGUUCAGAAUUUCCUCAUGCAAGUAUUUUAUACUUGAAUAUACAUGUAAAUAUAUGCCGGUACUUUCUUUUUCUGAAAGAAUUUAUUAAAACAUCAAAAGAUAUCGGUAAAUAUACAUUUCACAGAACUAGCAAAAUAAACUACGAGAGAGAUGUUUCAUUGGAAAUCAUACCACUUUUUCUUUUUUCUUUUUAUGGGUUCGUAUAAUGCUAUAGGGAAAACGGCAAAAACAAGCAUUGGUGUCGUUUCUGUACAAUAACUUGUGUUUAAGUGUAAAGAUCUCUUUAAAAUUGCACUACAAGGUUCCAUACUACAACAGGAAGGCUGGGAUUGAGUUUGGGUGUAAUUGCUCCAAAAAGGGGGGGGGAAUAUUUUUUCAAAUUUUUUGAAAGAGUUCAUAUUUUUUUCUUCUUUUAAAAUUUUACAAAUUUGACCACAUUUAUUUUGUGUCAGAAACUUAUAUUUUGUCAAAAAUAUUAUCAUAAUCCAAAUUCAGAUCGUAUCAAGCGUCUAAAUUUGCCCUUGCUGUUCAAGGUCCGACCUCUGCGGUCGUAUCAGGCUGUGCUCAGGGAAGCAUUUUAUUCAAUUCAGUAUUUAACAUUUAAAUUUAAUAUGCUAAAUAUAAUAAAUCAGCAAUGAAUAUGUCGCUAUUUUAUCGAUAUCUCUUGUUGGCCAUUAUUUUUUUCAUGUUUUAAAGUAAGAUAUAAUAUGUUUAUUUAUUUGUUUCAGACGUAAUGUAUGUUCAGAAGAAAAGAAGGAUUGAUGGCUGUUUAACGUCCAGCAACAAAUAAAAUACACAUUCAGGACGAGAACAUGAUAAUGUGACAUGAAUAUAAUCACUGUUUUGUACUGGACCUACACACUGAGCGCUAGUUCACUAGAUACACUGAGGGCUAGUUCACAAGAUACUAGUCUACAUGAAGACCCGUGCACAUUCUCCAACUACUAAACACUGUGUGUUAAGCGGUAAAAACACCAAAUUCACGUUUUCAAGUCUUGUAGUUUGACUCUGUCGGAUAUUGAGCCAACAACCUCCUGAAGUCGAGCCGAAUAUGGGACAACUGAGGCUAUUAUGUGAAAAAGAAGUGUAGCAUACAAUAUUGUUUGGAAUACCAUUAAAAUAUAUUAUCAAACACUUUUGUACAGAUAUGUACUUGUAGGCAUUACAAAGCAGUAACUGACACAUUUAGGCCUAAUGUUACAUGCACCAUUUAUUGUCAUGCAUUCUAUGUUUAAACUGAUUGACUGAUUAGAACAAUGUGUGAAAGGAAGUGCAUACGGAGAUAAAGUAUGAUUGCCAAUGAGACAACUACUAGUAUCUAACAUAGUCUGUAUGAAUCGGGUUUAAUCAUUUACACGUUAGGUAAAUGUACAGCCUUCAAUAAUGAGUAAAAAUCCAUACCGCAUAAUCAGUCAGCUUUACAAGGCCACGACAUAAAAAACAAAUUGUGAAUCAAUACAAACGAAAACAAAAACACCAACUGUUUGAUUUAUAACAAAACG
rnacentral:lncRNA from 1 species